rnacentral:rRNA from 1 species
UACAGAGGUCCCAAGCGUUGUUCGGAUUUACUGGGCGUAAAGGGUGCGUAGGUGGCAAGACAAGUCUGAUGUGAAAUCUCCGAGCUUAACUCGGAAAUGGCAUUGGAAACUGUUUCGCUAGAGUGUUGGAGGGGGGACUGGAAUACUUGGUGUAGCAGUGAAAUGCGUAGAUAUCAAGUGGAACAUCAGUGGCGAAGGCGAGUCCCUAGACAAUCACUGACACUGAGGCACGAAAGCUAGGGGAGCAAACGGG